AUGAACUUAAGAUUAUUGGUGUAGGUCCCAAGUCUUUACGACUUCCGGUUCUCGAGAUACAAUUUUUCAAAAAUUGUGUAUAUUUUUUCAAGGGAAAUAACUCCUUAUAAAGGUUAACAACAAAAUGAUUGUAUAUAUUUAUUAACAUUGCCAUCUGGUCUUGUAAAUGUUGCUGUUUUAAAAUCGAUUCUAUCUUGAAUACUUUUUGAGAAAAAUGCAAAAGAAAGAAAUUGCUUCAAGGGGACAUAACUCUCAUAGGGAAUGAUGAAAUCCUUAGCAGCCUCAUAUGGUAACACAUCAUGAUGAGAUCUAAUUAUUGUCCAAAUAAGGUCAUAAUAUCUUCAAAACAACGAGGGGGCC
rnacentral:lncRNA from 1 species